AAUAACUAGUUUGACAAUUCUUUACAAAGUCAAACACUAAUAAAAAAACGGUAUAACGGAUUGUUGGGGAGUAGUACAUAUUUCCAGCGCCACCGCGGUUUCACGGCGUUUGAAUUCUGAGGGGACGCGCGUUAGCGUUUCUUUUACCGCCAAAAUUGGUCCUCACAUUCGAAACAGUUCCUGUUGCACUAUUCCCAAAUUUCGUUACAACUAACUCUCACUCACCUUCUCACAAGCCUCGUAGUGGAAUCAAUCAGAGCAAGCAAGCAAUCGGCAUAUUCUUGACCUGACAAAUGAAACUAAGUGGGGGGUGAUUGGAAAGGUUAUACUCUUCUCUUUCAAUAUCAUCAUUAAUUUGACUUCUGUUAUUAAUUAUUUGUCUGAUAAAUAGUAAUUAAAAAUUAUUUAAACAUAUCGACGAUGCAAAAAUAUGGCAAAUGGCCUGAGAAGCAUGGCAAGAGAGGAUUUUUUGUCUUCAGUCAAGAAUUCAUUGGGCCAACGAAUGUGUAGAAGCUCUCCACAAGACAAGGUUCAUCCUAUAGCCUUUGAUAAUUAUUCCAGUUGCAUUGUUUUCACAUUUAGUAUCCUGAAAUUGAAAUUUUGAUUAGAGUCAUCUUGUAACAUUAGUUUUCUAGAUUUUUUAAUCAUGAAAUUAAUUUCUUAAAUCUACAUUUAGAAAUUUACUCCUUUUUUGCGAGUACCAAAAUUUAUCUCCAUAAAUAAUAUUUUAAAAUUAAACAAUAAAAAUUGUAAAAAGAGAAAAUACAAAAAUAAAAUAAAAAUAGAAAGAAUGAAAAAAUAAGUAAUCAAAAUUUGGGGAAAAGAGAAAUGACCAUUGACACUGGCAGCCUGAUUUUGAAGAUUCUUAAAAGUAAGGAGGGAAGAUGUGUUCUGUGAAAAGGUUCAAAGAAAAUAACUUUCUAUUAGAAAGAUGGUGCAAUCCACUUUUGUCCGUACAUUCACAUGCACUAUGACAGUAGGUUACAGUUGUGUUCUAAUCUUUGAUAAUUUAGCGAAUCGUAGUCAAUUGUGAUUGAUGCUUCUUCAAUUAAAGUGUCAUGUGUUCUAGAUCGUGACCUUGGAACUUUUUUCUUUUAAAUUGCUUCCCUAGUCUAGAGUUAUUAUUGUGGGUAAAUUCAGAAAGAAGUGGAUCAAUUGGUAUAAAUUAGGGAGAUGAAAAGCAAGGGGCACCUUCAGAAUGAGAGAGCUCAGUCUUUCUCAACCAACAUAUUGACAAAUAACCCAAUGGCCUCCUCUGUCCUAAUUUCCUUCCAUAUUUAAUGACAUAUAAUACAAUAACGGCCAAUUGCUGUCCUAUUUCAUAACUGUUUCCAACUCGUUUUAAUGGUCCUUUUCCUAGCUUAAAUUCUCGCAAUGGGAGGCCUUCCUUUUACUAACACAAUCCUGGUUCAUUCUGUGCAUUUUUUCUGUUAGUUUUGAUUUGGCUGUUUUUGCAGCGGGUCAUACGAUUACAAUAGGGCGCUGCGGUGAUUAUCCAGUAUUUUAUGGGACUAGUUGUUUUUUUAUCUUUCUAUUUGGUUGGUUUUUUUAUAGGCAAAUUGUUAGUGUUUAAUUUGUUGGGGGAGAUGGAUUUAAGGAGUAGGAUCUAGUCCUUAACCUCCUAUAUUAAUUCAUUUGGUGUCCCAAUUCAUACUACUUAGCUACUUCUUCCGGGAUUCUUUGGCUGGAUUUUUUUUUAAACGAGACUAAAUUCUAGUACUAAAUCCAUUAUCCAUUUCUAUCCUAAUAAAUGAGUGGGACAUGCUGAUGAUGAUCUAUUAUAGUGUCAUAGUUUUCUGCAAAAGUUCGAUUUCUCACCAACUCAAUUCCUUUUUGGUCCCAAAUCAAAAGCCUAAAAUGAGUCUAUUUCAAAAAUAAAGCAAUGUAUAAAACAUUAAAGCAUAAAAUAUUUUUUGGAAAUUCUCUUGUCAUAGUUUUUGCAAAUCUUGUGUUUUUAAAAUAUAAAAGUAUGAACAUUAUGGAUUUAUGCCCAAUUCUUUAAAUACUACUCCCUCCCUUUUAAAACGAGUGCCAUUUACAAUUUUUUUGAACACAGAUUAAAAAAUGCAAUACUAUAGUCAAAAUACAUUACACUUUUACAAAAUAAUCUUUAUUAGAUAUUGAUGCGGUUCUCACCAUCAUAAAUGCCAAGUGAAAUAAUGUAUAAAGAUUAGUAGUGUACAUAGAGGCAAUAAUUAGAACAUGUAAUUAAUUCUACAUAAAAAAAUGAAAAUGAUAUUUAUUUUGAUUUUGAAACAAUUUUUCUUUUCUAAGACACCUUUAUACUCACCUUUAAACUCGGGCACUAGGCUUCGAAGGCCUCCCGCUUACCAUCUCAUCGCUGCAAACCAAGCUUCUAAUUAUUUUCGGAACUUAUAACAAGCUUGCAUGAAGUUUAAUCCGUUAAAUUUGGGUAUCUAAAACUGAGCAUGAUCCUAUCCUCUUUUCAACAUUUCAAAGAAAGGAAAACAACUUUCAUAUAUGGAAUGAAAUUACAUAAGAGGAUAAUAAAGGGAGAUAGAUUAGUCAUGUCGUUAUUAAUAGGUGGUGGUGGGCUCAGGUUUAUUUAGUUUAAUUAGAUAGUGGUGCCUGCUUUGGUUGGAUGGUACAAGGAAAAUAUUGCUGGUAAGAAUAAUUGCUGGUGGGGCAAAAUGUCUUCCUUGAGUGCAGGUGCAAAUAAACUACCUAUAUGAGUUCAAAGUAUAAGGCCCUCUAUAGAGCCCAUUUAACAACUAUAUAAAAGCGAUCGACUCUAAUCAAAUUAAGGUACAUCUCAUUCAUAGUUUAGUUUUACUAUUACUAGAUACUAGUUCUGACUAGGAUAUUAGACUGCCUUUUUAGAUUCCCCCUCGGACUGAACCACAUAGGUUAUCUGCACUGGCAGAUCUACCUCCAACCUCCCCUGAGGUCGACUCAUGUUUUAAAACAACAACAUUGAUACGUACACAAAUUGUUUUUGGGAGUAUGUAACCAAAAUCUUCACACUGACAUUUUCAACCGCUAUCAAUAGAGGGAAUUAGUUGAUUAAUGUAGCUAAAUUGAAAGGGGAGCCUGUCAGAUUAUUCAAAUAUUUGAUCUCGUUCCUACUUUUCUCUAAAACUAAGAAAAACACCUGCCAAGGGUUUUGAAUUUUUAUAGGAAUCGGGCAGAGUUGAUUGAGUAUAGUCAUAUUAUACUACUGGCUAGUAAUUUAACUCUUCACACGUCAAUAAUGGAAAAAUUUAAAUGAGCUAUUUUUUUGUUCGAGAAAAAUGGGAACCAGACAACUUUCUCCAUGUGGUUUAGAAGUUUCUGUGAGCCAUUGGAGUAAUUUGAAAAUACGACAAUCAUGCAAAUGCUCUUGGAAAUAAACACAAAUUAAGUAGUGAAUAGAAAUCUAAUGUUCUCCUUGGUUACUAGCACUCUUAUUUCAAACACAAAUACAAAAUUGCCACAAUAAAUAUAAUAGCAAUCAUACACGACCAUAUUCAUCUAUGCACAAAUAAAUUAAAGAGAUCACUAAAAGUGGACUGUACUUAUGACUUUCACUUGACAUUUACAUUCAAAUAUUGCUUCCUUUUGAUUUGUAUGUCAC